rnacentral:rRNA from 1 species
UAUCUUCGGGAUAGGUAGUAGUUAAGGUGAUGGCUUAACUAGCCUACAACUCUCGUAGUCGAAUCUGAAAGGUUGAUCGACCACAUUGGGUCUGAAAAAACCCCAAUGCAAAUUUAGUACAGCAGUGAGGAAUCUUGGUCAAUGGCCUAACGGCUGAACUGGCAACUUGGAAAAGUGACAAGUCUUAUUUUGAUAAUAUUAUUAUAUAGAAUCUAUAAGAUUGUAUUAAAAUUGAAUAAAGCUUUGUUUAUAUAUUGAUAAUGACAGUAUAUAUAUCGUGUCUUGACUAAUUACGUGCCAGCAGUCGCGGUAAUACGUAAGAGACUAGUGUUAUUCAUCUUAAUUAGGUUUAAAGGGUACGUAGACGGUCAGUAUAGCUUCUAGAAUGUUAGUACUUGACUAGAGUUUUAUGGAAAAGGGCAGUACUUGAGGAGGAGAGAUGAAAUUCUUUUAUACCAAAGGGACUCGGUAAAGGCGAAGGCAGCCCUCUAUGUUAAAACUGACGUUGAAGGACGAAGGCACAGAGCACAAACAGGAUUAGGUACCCCAGUAGUCUUUGCAGUAAAUGAUGAAUGCCAUAGGUUAGAUUA